GAUGAACGCUGGCGGCGUGCCUAAUACAUGCAAGUCGAGCGAACAGAUCAGGAGCUUGCUCCUCUGACGUUAUCGGCGGACGGGUGAGUAACACGUGGUUAACCUACCUAUAAGACUGGGAUGACUUCGGCAAACCGGAUCUACUACCGAAUAAUAUAUUGCACCUCAUUGUGCAAUAGUUAAAUACGGUUUUUGUUUCACUUAUAGAUUACUCCGCGCCCCAUUAGCUAGUGGGUAAGGUAACGGCUUAACAAGGCAACGAUGCGUAGACGACCUGAGAGCGAGGUCGCACAGACUGGAACUGAGACACGGUCCAGACUCCGACGGGAGGCAGCAGUAGGGAAUCUUACGCGAUGGGGGAGAGGCGGACGGUGCAAAGCCGCGUGAGGGAUGAAGGUCUUAGGAUCGUAAAACUCUGUAAGCAGGGAAGAACAAAUGUGUAAGUAACCAUGCACGUAUUGACGGUACCGAAUGAGAAAGCCACGGCUAACUACGUG
rnacentral:rRNA from 1 species